GAGUUUGCAUGGGGUUGUGCGAUAUACAGAUCAGAUUGUGUUAGAACUAUGGUGUUUUUCUAUGUUUCGAGAAUAUGUUCACGCUUUCAAGUUUGGUGCAAUUCCUUUUUUUUGUACAUGUCAACUCAGCAGACACGAGGUUGGGGCUGCAGGUGGGUUAAAACCAGCUGCAGGAUGAUUGGACGACGAGGAGUGGAGAUCAGAUUAAGCUACCGUUGGUCGACAAGGCAAGUCCGAGGAAGCGGUCGCCGACGUAGCCAGGAAGCCAUAGUUCCAACAGCCUCUACACAAUUCCCCAACUCCAGAGCUGACGCCACCCCAAGGAAAGCAUGAAGAUGAAAGGCCAAGCCAAGCUGACUCCCAGCCAAGCAGUCAUUUCGCUGCCAGACAGAGAGGAAAAAAGCCACGCCACGGGUCUUGAGCUGGUCUCUGAUGAUCAAUAACACCUGCUGCCACGAAGUCAACACACUCCCUUUCACGUCGGUCGGGCAAGAGAGAUAAACACGGGCAAGACCGACUCCUCCCGCCGCAACGGACGUCGCUGAUGGCUUGCGCUGGAAGACGAGCUGUAUCACUGUGGGGAAGGACGCCCGUAUGCAAAUUGCAACAACGGGACCAAGGCUGGGAGCCAUGCAAAAUCCGGAACAACGUCGCCCUAAGGAGCAAGGCCAUGAGAGGAAAAUGCCAGACCGGAGCAGAGCCGCGUACAGCCAAGAUUGCGCUGCUACAACUAUGGAAAUACUGACGCCAGUUUAUGGACUGAUGUAAACGUAUUGUCUGCAUUACUAGUAUUUGACUUUACAGACACAAAAACGUAUUGUCUAGUCUAUUAUGUGUAUCAAAGAAUAUACAAGUAAUGUAAUUGACUCAGACGACGACGGUCCAAAUCAAACCAUGUGCGGAUUUACGAAUGGUGGAAAUCCCAUACAGACGCACGUAAGGUCUCAUUGAUGAGUUUUAAACUGCAUUGGGAGUAAUGGCAUGCAAAAAUACGUGUUUCACAUGGGCGCGUACAAAAUGAACGCACUUGAAAUAUGUUUAUUCUAUUUAUUCUUUGUUGCGCUCAUUUACGUUUUAUCUUGUAAAAAAUUUACGACAACAGCUAAACAGUCAGUCUUAUAUGACAAUUAGAACAUGCAUGAAGUUAGUACACACCGCAACGGGGACUGCACAACUCAGAACUGUGUGCCUCCGACCCAGACCGCAGCUACCGAACAUUGCCUGCUAAUUUCUUGAAGUAGAAAGAAACUUUCACCAAUCUAACGUUAGAGAUCAGUUGGGCUGGAUAAAAGGAAAAUUCUCAUCGCUAAAAAAACA